rnacentral:rRNA from 1 species
CUACAGGCUUAACACAUGCAAGUCGAGGGGAAACGACAUCGAAAGCUUGCUUUUGAUGGGCGUCGACCGGCGCACGGGUGAGUAACGCGUAUCCAACCUGCCCACCACUUGGGGAUAACCUUGCGAAAGUAAGACUAAUACCCAAUGACGUCUCUAGAAGACAUCUGAAAGAGAUUAAAGAUUUAUCGGUGAUGGAUGGGGAUGCGUCUGAUUAGCUUGUUGGCGGGGUAACGGCCCACCAAGGCGACGAUCAGUAGGGGUUCUGAGAGGAAGGUCCCCCACAUUGGAACUGAGACACGGUCCAAACUCCUACGGGAGGCAGCAGUGAGGAAUAUUGGUCAAUGGACGAGAGUCUGAACCAGCCAAGUAGCGUGCAGGAUGACGGCCCUAUGGGUUGUAAACUGCUUUUAUAAGGGAAUAAAGUGAGUCUCGUGAGACUUUUUGCAUGUACCUUAUGAAUAAGGACCGGCUAAUUCCGUGCCAGCAGCCGCGGUAAUACGGAAGGUCCGGGCGUUAUCCGGAUUUAUUGGGUUUAAAGGGAGCGUAGGCCGGAGAUUAAGCGUGUUGUGAAAUGUAGACGCUCAACGUCUGCACUGCAGCGCGAACUGGUUUCCUUGAGUACGCACAAAGUGGGCGGAAUUCGUGGUGUAGCGGUGAAAUGCUUAGAUAUCACGAAGAACUCCGAUUGCGAAGGCAGCUCACUGGAGCGCAACUGACGCUGAAGCUCGAAAGUGCGGGUAUCGAACAGGAUUAGAUACCCUGGUAGUCCGCACGGUAAACGAUGGAUGCCCGCUGUUGGUCUGAAUAGGUCAGCGGCCAAGCGAAAGCAUUAAGCAUCCCACCUGGGGAGUACGCCGGCAACGGUGAAACUCAAAGGAAUUGACGGGGGCCCGCACAAGCGGAGGAACAUGUGGUUUAAUUCGAUGAUACGCGAGGAACCUUACCCGGGCUUGAAUUGCAGAGGAAGGAUUUGGAGACAAUGACGCCCUUCGGGGCCUCUGUGAAGGUGCUGCAUGGUUGUCGUCAGCUCGUGCCGUGAGGUGUCGGCUUAAGUGCCAUAACGAGCGCAACCCCUCUCCUUAGUUGCCAUCAGGUCAAGCUGGGCACUCUGGGGACACUGCCACCGUAAGGUGUGAGG